rnacentral:lncRNA from 1 species
GAAGGUUUUAACAUGUAUCCUAUGGAUACAGCAGACUCCAAAAGACACACGGGAGUCAGCUCUCUCCUUUACUCUAGAGAGCAGUUGCUGGCUCUUGGGACGAGCACACCUGGACAGAGACACAACAUCCCACUAGAGCUGCGGAGAAGAUACUGAGGCUGUAAGGCUGGAGCUAAGCUAAAGGCUAUGCUAGCGGACAACCGGAGGUGCUUCAAACCAUCGAUUCCUUUCGUGGUUAUGGGGAACGUCAACUCGCUCCCGAAUAAGAUGGACGAGCUGGCUGCUCUGGAGAACCAGCGGAUCUACCGUGAGUGCAGCUUGUUCAUUCUGACAGAGACAUGGCUAACAGAUAGCAUACCGGAUGCUAACGUGGACCUGCGGGGAGUUACAGCAGUGAGAGCCGACAGGGACGCGAAGGCAUGUGGCAAAAACAAAGGUGGGGGACUCAUCAUAUAUGUCAACAACCGUUGGAGUAACCCCGGCCAUGUCACCGUGAAGGUGGUUUUGUGUUGCCCUCAUCUGGAGCUGCUGGCCGUUAGCCUGCAGCCAUACUAUCUACCGAGGGAGUUCAGUCACGUGAUCGCCCUCUGUGUUUACAUUCCUCUGAGAGCAGAUGUGGCCGCUGCCUGUGAAAGGAUACACAGCGUCAAAGCACGACUGCAGAUGCAACAUCCUGAGGCCUUCAUAAUAAUAUCUGGAGACUUCAGUCAUGUCACCCUGGACUCUACCCUGGCUGCUUUUCACCAGGUUGUCAACUGCCCCACCAGGAAGAACAGGACGAUUGACUUACUGUAUGCCAACGUUAAGGAAGCAUACAGAGUCACCGCCCUCCCCCCACUGAGCAAAUCAGACCACAACGUGGUGUACAUACAGACCCAGUACACCCCCCUGGUCCAAAGGCAGGCUGUCACCACUCACUCCUUCAGGAGAUGGACUCCUGAAGCAGAGGAGGCCCUGAGGGACUGCUACAACACCAGGGACUGGGAUGUGCUGCUGGGUGCACAUGAUGAGGACAUUGAGGGGAUGACUCACUGUCUCACAG